GUUAUCUGCUUUUAACGUGCUGGCAACAAUGGCCCGAUUUUAGUAUUAGUUGAUCAUUUACACAGAGUUUCAGUCUCUUCGUGCUGUGAAGAUCAAGCAAGUCCAUAGAACUGGGUCCAGCUCACAGAAACAAGGUUAUGGAGGUUGUGAAGAUGUUGGAGAUUAAGCUUCGAAUUGGAUAGAUUUUGCCCAAGUUGUUUCAGGUGACUGUUUUGAGCAAGAAGCUUGAUUUCCUGCUGUGACUAAACGUUAAGAACUGCUUUAUUUACUUAUUUUGAUCCCGCAGUACUUAGAUCAAACUGACUAAUUGUCCAACUGUCUCUGUGAGUUAAUUUCUCAGUUUCAUUCGGCAAAGCAGGAAACCUUCUCUCAAUUUCUUAAAUUAUGCUCCUACCUUCACUUGGUUUCAAUAUGAGCGGUUGGUAGGCAAGUGCAGAGAUUGUGCCUCCCUAAAUCAUGUUGGUGCACUAUGCCUGCAUGGCUGCAUCAGGCUCAUUAGGAGGGAAAUUGGGCGACGUUGGCGACUCAGGUGGCGGCAGUGGGGAGUUCGAUUGGAGAGAAGUAAACUAAAUACAAAAUAUUGGAUAGUAGAAUGUUAGGAACCAUCACAAAACGCAGAGAAACUGUUGGAAACACUUAAAGCUCCUCUAUCUCUAUUCAAAAUCGUGGGAGUCCGAUUGGAGAAACCAGGAUUAGAGGGAGAUGGACAAUGGUGAGACGAGUCCUAUGUCACUGGUUUGACGUCGUGAGGUAACCGAAUGGUAGAGAUCUGACGGGCCUUGUUUGUAAGUUAUUCCAGUCGUUAAAAUGAGUGUGCAUUUUGGGUUAUUCUUUAAUUGAAUUUUAACAAAAAAUAGAGCACUUAAUAGAGUUAAUCUUCAAUUAAGUUAGAGUACAAGUGUAAAAAAAUGGUACGAGUAACAAAAUAGGUAGAAAAUAUAUCGGGACAGCUGAAAUGCUCCUUAUUUUAUGGUUUUCAGACAGUCAAUAGAAAGCAUAUGUGAAAAUUUUAUAUUAAUAAGUCAAUAAAAUUACUCAUUUAACGUGUGAACCAAUUACAUUCACCCGAUCGUUCAGAAUCGUGAUACACUUGGUGGUCUGAGUUUAUAUUAUUAGUUUAUACGACCUACUUGUUGCUGCUGAUUGAUUCCCUCAAUUUAAUUUGUUUUUUUUCUUCUUCUUUUUAACCCUGCAAUGAUUUUCACCAAAUUCUAAUAAUCUUAUUGG